UACAGAGGUCUCGAGCGUUAGGCGGAAUCACUGGGCUUAAAGCGUGUGUAGGCGGGUCGGUAAGUGCCUUGUGAAAUCCCAUGGCUCAACCAUGGAACUGCUGGGCAUACUGGCGAUCUUGUGCAACCUAGGGGCGAGCGGAACAGAUGGUGGAGCGGUGAAAUGCGUAGAUAUCAUCUGGAACGCCAAUGGUGAAAACAGCUCGCUGGGGGUUUGCAGACGCUGAGACACGAAAGCCAGGGGAGCGAACGGG
rnacentral:rRNA from 1 species